rnacentral:rRNA from 1 species
UACGUAGGGCGCAAGCGUUGUCCGGAAUUAUUGGGCGUAAAGAGCUCGUAGGCGGUCUGUCGCGUCUGCUGUGAAAACUCAGGGCUUAACCCUGAGCUUGCAGUGGGUACGGGCAGACUAGAGUGCGGUAGGGGAGAGUGGAAUUCCUGGUGUAGCGGUGAAAUGCGCAGAUAUCAGGAGGAACACCGGUGGCGAAGGCGGGUCUCUGGGCCGGAACUGACGCUGAGGAGCGAAAGCAUGGGGAGCGAAUGGG